ACCAAAUAGGACGGCGCGAGAGUUUACGUCCUGGGAUUGUAUCCUGGCGCCACCAUUUUUGGCGGGAAUUUCGAGCUGAGUGGAGCUGCUGCAGCUGCUGAUAGUAAUAAGCGGGGGCUACUAACCAGCCUGUCGCUAUUUCAUCUACAAACAAGGGCUUCUUUCUGUCUCCAGGCCAGUGGUCAAAAGAAGAUUGAAUCGCUUUCCCAACUGCAGAAACCUAAAAAGCACCAUGUUGGAG